GUCAGUCAGUGUCAAGAUGGUGGGAAAAAUCUUGUGUUAUUUUCGUUAUUUUCUCCUCUUCCUUUCGUCCAGCGACACCCACGCCGUCACGUAAGCUGCCUCAAGGAGAGAGCAGACGUACGGCGGGAGACCAGCGUGCGAAGGCCCCGACAAACCCAGACUGUGCCUGAUGCUGGGGCUGCGUCGCGUCCAGGUAUCUUCAGGGAUGGAAAACUGCACCGACAAGACAGACAACCAGGUGUGUGAACGAGGGCGUGGCGGCUCCCGAGACUUGCUACCGAGAGAACUACCAUCACAACCCCGCCCAUGAUGCUACGCCACGCCCACUCCUGAGAGAAGGAUGAAGACUUCCAACACCUUCGGGAACGAGGAUUGUGACGUGAAAGGCUGUACAGUGGAGUAUGCUUUGUUGUUUAUACUUUGCUCUUUUCCUCCUCCAUUGCUAAGAGGAAAAUAAGGAGGAAAAGAGGAGGAAGAGGAAGAUUAGGGGGAAAAGGAGGAAGAGAAAGAUUAGGAGGAAAAGAAGAGGAAGAGGGUGCCAAGUCUUCACACCCAAAACCAAACAAAAAAACAAUAAGGACAUGAUGAAAUUGAACUCACAGGCCAGUUUAGCAAUUGCAUUAUUAUUAUUUGACCAAAUAUAUACAAAUAAAGUGCCUUCACAAAAUAAUAAAACUGAUAUGUUCAAAGAUAAAACAAGGAGCAUUACCUCUGCGUCCACUUGGCCACAGCAGCAGCAUUAGGUCAGGUCAACAGGCUCACCACAGACUGACUUGACCCCGCCCACACAAGGGAACGGGGCCCAAGAAGGAGGAGGAGGAGGAAGGGGACCCAGAAACACACAUGCAACACAAGUAUCACACGAAUUUUGCACAAGGGGAGGGUGAUGAAGGGAGAAGAGAAAGUUAGAGGGGAGAAAAAUAUCGACAUGCUUACGUAGAUUUCACAUACACAAGAAGCUUUUUGGACACUGUUUUCACAUCAAAGACUUCAUACUGGACAUUUUUUUAGACACGGAUAAGUGGAAAAUUUUGUCACAAGUAAAUGCCAACACGAGAGUGAGUCUGUACGCACGGAAAACGGCUUACGGGAAGGUAGGCGACAGUACGCGGGCCUCGGAGGAACACACGAACCUCACUUGCUUGUUUUGCCUCGCCGGAAAACAUGGGCGUGGCGUUCGUACCUGGCUUUGUUGACGAGACUCCCACAUGAACAAAUCUCUCUGACGCGCACACACACACACACUAAUGCACAAUGUGAGGUCUUGCAUACUCAUACUUGUAGAGGCACUGCUUAAGCCACCAAAAAAAUUAUUCUUGCGUUACUCAACAGAACAACACAAAAGUUGGUUAAAUAGUUAAACGGAAGUGUGGUAUUUUUCUCUGUUUCUUUUGGUGGCCGUCGCAGUGCUGCUCCGAGCUAGCCGAGGGAGCUGCCCACUGGCCCAGGGAGCCACCUAGUGUUUUGAGCUGCCAGUGAACAGAAAGGGUGAAAAGCCAGACAUUACAUUCUGCCACAAACUUAAGUCCGCUAAACAAAUAUACAUGUAUUCCGUGUAUAUAUAUAUAUAUGCACUGUAUCGUAUAUAGUAGUAUUUUGUUUUUUAUUUAUAUAUAUAUAUAUAUACUAAAACUCAUGAGGCACAUUAUAUAAAAAUCUCGAUAAACUUCUGGUAAAAAUUAUGUACAGGCUUAUGUAUACGUAUGAAAUCUGCAAAAUGGAAUGUAUAAACAGCAGGUGUGGGGGCAGCAGCGGCGGCGCACGUGCAUCUCUGUAGUGUUUUUGCCUCUGUCCAGAACGACUUUACACGCCGGAGAGGAAGGCUCGCAGCGCGUCCCGAGGAGAAACCAGAACAACGACAAUAAUUUACAGGCAACGAAAACCUCUUUGCAGGAAGGCAGAACGGCUGAGCAUCGACUGGUCAACACACUGGGGUCACUUGGAGGGACGGGACACACCCCAACCCCGAUAGCGACUCAUUCCACUCGCUGCCAAGACGAGGAAAUAAAUUAUAUCACACUUUCCACGCAGAUCACACUGCUUGGCGCAUCCACAGGCAGGGGAAGGAGACGAGAAGGGGAGGGAAGAGAGAUGGAAGAAAGAGGAAGAGAAGAAGGAGGAGGAGGAGGA